UACGGGGGGAGCAAGCGUUUGUUCGGAUUUACUGGGCGUAAAGGGCGCGUAGGCGGCGCAACAAGUCACUUGUGAAAUCUCCGGGCUUAACCCGGAGCGGUCAAGUGAUACUGUCGUGCUAGAGUGCGGAAGGGGCUACUGGAAUUCUCGGUGUAGCGGUGAAAUGCGUAGAUAUCGAGAGGAACACCUGCGGCGAAGGCGGGUAGCUGGGCCGGACACUGA
rnacentral:rRNA from 1 species